GGGAGAAGUGAAACCUGGAGGAGAAGGGGAGCCCUCAAAUCUAAAUUAUUCUUCUGAGAAUUUAUCCUAAGAAGAUAAUCACACAUGUCCUCGUGUAUGUAUCUUGAAGGAUGUUUCUUGCGCUUUACAAAAGCAAAAGGAUGGAAUGUCUCUGCUCUAAUCAACGGAAUGAUGAAAAUACUGUGUACCAGAUGAAGUGUGGAAAAUGAGGAAGUAAACCAAACAAUGGGAACAUGUGGGAUCCAGGUGACAGGGGAGCCAGAACAGGAGAGGCCAGGGCUGCCUGAGACGAGCUUGAAGACAUUUUUCAUUGCUUACAGAGAGAGAGGAAGCAAGAGAGAAAAACAUUGAUGUGAGAAAGAUCAACUGAUUUCUUCCAUAGGCAUAUGGAUCAGUCAAGAAAAGUAGUACUUUGUUUCAAAUAAAUGAAUCCACAAACCCGAGUGUAAACGGAACCCCAUGUUCAAAUUUCAGUGAUGAACUAAGAACCCAAGUGCCAAAUCUAUACAUAGCAGAUUUAAAGCUCUUUAAUGGGAGCUUAUUCAUCCAAUCAACAAGUUCACAGAGUGUCAACCAUGUCAAAAAAUCUGCAGGUGAAGAAGAAGAAACUCACUGGAACUACUUAGUUUUCUCUGUAAUGUGACAGCACAUUGUAGAAAUGUGUAAAAUAAAGAUACAAAAUAAGGGCUAAA